AACAAACACAGUAUCAUUCACAACGGACGAUGGAAAAAAUGUUCUUUUACAACUGGAUGAUAAGACUCUCGAGAACCUUCAGAAUAAUGAUCCCAAUACAAUUGAAUUCGUAUUAAAUUUAGUAGCAGAACAGGAACAAGAAGAAUCCGAGGAAAACGAAAUUGAGGAUCCAAAACCUAGUGGAGAGGCUAUCACUCGAACUAAUUCCUGGACCAAAGAGAGAUCAAAAGUUCUUCUACAUGAAUAUAGAGAGAGAUAUUUGCAAUUCAAUAGCCCAACACAGAAGAAGAAAACUUUAUGGAGGGAGAUUUGCCAAGUGAUCAAUACAGAAACGCAAUCAACAUUCACCA